GUUAGGAUGACGUCAUAGUGGAGCAGGAUAGGCCUCUAAUCCAAGAUGACUGCUGUCCUUAUAAAAAGGGGAAACGCCAUGUGAAGAUUAUGGAUUUCUGCUGCCACAAGCCAAGUAACUACCAGAAGCCAGGAGAGAGGGCUGGAGCAAGGGAGCCUGGCCCUGACGACACCUUGAUCUCAGACUUCGGGCCUCCAUAAUUGCACGAGCCACCAUGCCCGACCAGGACCGGUGUUCUUAUAAGAAGAGAGAGACAUCAGGAAUGGGUGUGUACAGAGAAAAGGACACAGCAAGAUGGUGGCCAUUUGCAAGCCAAGGAGAGAGACCUCAGGAGAAACCAACCCGCCAGCACCUUGAUCUUAGACUUCCAGUCUCCAAAAUUGGGAGAAAAUAAACGUUUGUUGUUUAAGA
rnacentral:lncRNA from 10 species